rnacentral:rRNA from 1 species
GAUGAACGCUAGCGGCAGGCUUAAUACAUGCAAGUCGAGGGGCAUCAAGGUACACGAAAGUGUAUUGUUGGCGACCGGCGGACGGGUGAGUAAUAGGUAGGUAACCUACCUCAUACUGAGGCAUAGCUGGGAGAAAUUCCAGGUAAUUCCUCAUGAGGUUAUAUGACACAUGUGAUAUAAUCAAAGGUAUCGCAAGGUACUGGUAUGAGAUGGGCUUACUGACCAUUAGCUAGUUGGUGAGAUAAGAGCUCACCAAGGCGAAGAUGGUUAGGGGUUUUGAGAGAGAGAUCCCCCACAUUGGAACUGAGAUACGGUCCAGACUCCUACGGGAGGCAGCAGUAGGGAAUAUUGGGCAAUGGGCGGAAGCCUGACCCAGCCAUGCCGCGUGAAGGAAGACGGCCUUAUGGGUUGUAAACUUCUUUACUAUGCGAACUAACUAGUAUUUACGAGAUAAUUCUAUAGAAUGUAGCAUAGACAAAAGCACCGGA